ensembl:ribozyme RNaseP_nuc Nuclear RNase P
UUCCCACCUCCUUAUGCCACUGUUGCUGAGUGCUCAUCACUCCCUAGCCCUUGGCAAGUUCUGAGACUGGGAAGUUCCCUACCCAGGCCCUCCCUGAGUGAGGAGGUGAGUUCCCAGAGAACAUGGCUCCACAGGAGACACACUGGGCAGGAGAGGCUCUAUGUGGGCGGAUGCCUCCCUCACUGGAGCCUGGAACAGACUCAUGGGCAGCACAGAGUGAGUUCAAUGGCUGACGUGACACGCUACUACAACUAGGUUCUCUGAAAGAGACAAUUCAGGGAA